AGCAGCCGCGGUAAUUCCAGCUCCAAUAGCGUAUAUUAAAGUUGUUGCAGUUAAAAAGCUCGUAGUUGAAUUUCGGGGUCAGUAGGUUGGUCGUGCCACUGGUAUGUACUGGCCUCACUGAUUCCUCCUUCCUGAUGAACCGUAAUGCCAUUAAUUUGGUGUUGCGGGGAAUCUGGACUGUUACUUUGAAAAAAUUAGAGUGUUUAAAGCAGGCUAACGCUUGAAUACAUUAGCAUGGAAUAAUGGAAUAGGACGUUCGAUCCUAUUUUGUUGGUUUCUAGGAUUGACGUAAUGAUUAAUAGGGAUAGUUGGGGGCAUUAGUAUUCAAUUGUCAGAGGUGAAAUUCUUGGAUUUAUUGAAGACUAACUACUGCGAAAGCAUUUGCCAAGGAUGUUUUCAUUAAUCAAGAACGAAAGUUAGGGGAUCGAAGACGAUCAGAUACCGUCGUAGUCUUAACCAUAAACUAUGCCGACUAGGGAUCGGGUGAUGUUAAUUUUUUAAUGACUCAUUCGGCGCCUUACG
rnacentral:rRNA from 1 species